CUGCUGCCUCCCGUAGGAGUCUGGUCCGUGUCUCAGUACCAGUGUGGGGGACCUUCCUCUCAGGACCCCUACGCAUCGUCGGUUAGGUGGGCCGUUACCCCGCCUACUGCCUAAUGCGCCGCAUGCCCAUCCCUGUCCGGCCGAAGCCUUUCCUGCCUCCGGGAUGCCCCGGUGGCAUGUACGCGGGUUUAGCCCGCCUUUCGGCGGGUUGUCCCCCUCGACUAGGGGCGAGGUUGCCAUACGUGUUACUCACCCGUGCGCCGGUCGCAGGCGGAG
rnacentral:rRNA from 1 species